rnacentral:lncRNA from 1 species
GUUUGGGCUUCUUGAUUUGAUUGCGAAACCGGGUCGUUACAGAAGUGGUAUGAAUUGAAGAAGUGUAAGGAUGAGGAGGAGAUGAGCAAUACCUCUGCUGAUCAAGGCGUGGAUGGCGGGGACGAGGUGCCGUGUAUGGCUCGGGAACAGCUCUUGAACACUUGGUGUUUUAUGCAAUCCCACGAUCAGUUGUCGGUCGACACUUGCUUUGUAGCAGCGAGCUCAAGCUCGUCCUCUGUAUCUAAUUCUUCCCAAACGUCGUCUCCAUCUCGAACUAGAAUAGCAUUACAGGCUCUUUUUGGAUUAGUAUCAGGCAUGCCAGGAAGAACACCAUCUUGUCUCUUAACAGCUGCGGUAAUUUGAGCAAAUUGAACAUCGAGUUUCUUCAUGUGAUUGUUCAAAGUGUCAAUCUUGCCAUUCAAAUCAGAAUAGAUGGCAUCAAACUUCUCGUUGAACACAACUGUAAGCUUCGUCUGAUCCUCUAGAAUCUUCUCAAGCAUUGUCUCCAUCUUACUCUCAGGAGUGGGUGUAGGGGGUUUUGGUAGGUUGUGUUCCCUUAGGUUCUCUGGAAGCUACUACUUUGUGGAUAUGUCUUCUGAAACGCUGGUCUGUUGUUAAAAUUAUUGUUGUUCAGAAUUCUCUGUAAGCCGCUGACCACCGAAGUUACCCUGUUGAGUACUGAAUUUUCGAUAUCCCUGGCCAUCAAUGUAGAAUACUCCUUCCUCAGACUCUUCUUUUGGCAAAGUGAACAGCUUUGUUACCCGUGAGGAGGCUGUGAACUGAAUCCAACUUGGUAUUGACCUCUGCAAACUGACUUGCUGUAAUCGCUCUUGCAAUCUUCUUCCUUUCGAAGUCUGCGUUCUUCGUGCUGUUGCAACAGGCAAGAAUCUCAAUCAAAGCUACAGCAUCUGCAGGGUACCUAGUGUUAAAGUUACUAUUGCUUGCACCAUCUAGAGCCAUCUGAUAUCUCCAAUCAACUCCUCUGAAAAAUGUACCGAUGAGCUGAACCUCACUGAAACCGUGAUGCGGGCAAUCGCAUUGGUACUCCUUGAAUCUGACCCAACCAGCUUUAAAUGCUUAUGCUGGUCAUUGAGUGAAUAUAGAUAGCUUGUUGCAAAAUUCUUCAGACUUACCAUCAUCAUAGAAGUUGUUUAAAAAGAGUACCUUGAUUUUCCUCCAGCUAGUCAAGGGCCCUGCCUUCAACUGCUUCAGCCAAGAACAAGUGAGUAUGGGAAGAGCUUGCAGAGAAGGUAGUCAUCUGAAACUCCAUUAGCCUUUAUGCUAGAUACCAAAUCCUCAAAGCGCUCGAUAUGGUCCAUUGGUUGUCAUGAGAUAAGCCAUAGAAAGGAUGUUGUCCCACAAGAGUGAAGUAGGGCGGUUUUAGCUCGAAAUCGUUUCUCUUGAAUGGGGGAGGUACG